AUAAAUUGUCGCAUGUCGCCUUCAUUGCACAACGCCGCGAAAGAAAUAAAGGUCAACCAAUCGGAUAGAUUGUAGUCUACACUUCCAUCUGCUUCAAAUGUUAACAAAUUGCGAUUAUAUCAAAACGUUCAAAAUCGUUUUUGACUGAAUACUUUUUCAGCAAGUUUUCGUCAGCAAAUUUUGGUAAGAUGAAAGAUCAAUUGACACUUAUCUGUACAAUGCAAGUAGCUAUGCUAGUAUUGUACAUUGCAUGGAAGGCAAAAAGAGCAAGCGUUGGAGAAAUCGACGAUGGGGGGUACGUCCCAGAGGAGAAACAUCCAGAGUAUGGCGACUUCUCAACUCUAUUUUUAGAGUUAAAAAAAGAUUUGGAUCUCUUCUUCCGAUAUACAAGAAUGGAUGUGCCUACAUUUGAUGAACUUUGAUUGGGUCCGUAUUUGGAAAAAAGGAGUAUAACAAACCAUCGAUAUGACCAGAACAGUACCACAUAAUAACAUUGAGAUAUUUGACAACCAGAGACCAAAUGCUGUCUGUUCUAGAGCCAGAAAGUCCACUGCUGAUAUAUAUGAUUGUCAAAGAAACAUGUUAUAGAAAAUGUUUUAAUGUCAAUCUAUAUGAAAUGUCCGACAGAAGUCGAAUGGAAAGAGAUCUGUUCAGAUUUUUUAAGAUUGUGAAUUUACCAAAUUGUAUUGGAGCGAUCGAUGGCAAGUACAUGACAAUUCAGGCACCUCCGAACUCUGGAGCUAUACACUUCAAUUACAAGAAGACAUUUAAUUAGCUUCGUAUCGAUGGCUGCAUAAAUUGUGAUGCUAGGUAUCGAUUUACGCUGUUCGAUAGCGAUGAAGGAAUUUUGUUAAGAUUGACCUUCGGAAAAGCAGUGUACGGAGGUAUGCUGAAUUUGCCAAGAGGGACAGCUCGUCUCCCAGGAAGUGAUCAGGAAACACCUUGCUAUUUUGUUAGCGACGAAGCAUUUCAAUGUAAUGCGAUCUUAUCUGGGCAAGUUUUUAGAGGACCAAAAACGUAUAUAAACAUUUAUGAUUCAAGCAUAUUGUGGAAUCUAAAACGGAAAAAUAUAAAUAACAACUGCUCAGAGAAAGCUGUAUUUAAUCUGUAUAGAUUUAUUUACAUUUUGAUAAUAUAAUUUACGAUGCCACGCAAUUUAUAAGAAUAGUAAAUGAUAAAGUUCUAUAUUAAUAAAAUCGCCUUGUAUCUGCAUGUUAGUAUACAUACCUUAUAUUAAUAUUUACAAUUAAAAAAGCUGUCUUAUACAUUCCCUGCAUAUAUGUAUAUACAGCGUUCCUCCUGUAUACUCGGAACAAUAAUAACAAACUACAAUUGCGCUAUUAGAACACAAUUUCUACACUCUCUGGAUAAUGUGUAUUAAUUAAUAAAUCCUCUUUCACAUGUAUCUCAAACAGGAAAUAUUUCAAUUUCUAAUUUAUUAUUACUUUAUAACUAU